rnacentral:lncRNA from 1 species
CUAUAAAUGAAAAAAAAAAAAAAAGGGAAAAACUCAUCACUUAAGUUGCAAUUCAGAGACCAAUCUUCUUCUUCUACCAUUCUUAUUGUAGGCAAAGAGGCAAUGCAACUUGAUAGUUGUGUCAUCCUGUGAAAAGAGGUUCUCCUGUGAAAAGAAAUCCUCAAGCUGCCGCUACAAUGGAGAUGGUUUGUGGCUGAGGGUCAUGGAAUUACAGGUAUGGUGGAACUGGGGUGAGUUGAUCUGUGACUACACAGGCUCUGCCACUCACAAAUCUUGUGUUUCAGUGGCAGUGCAGUUAAUGGCUGGCUGAGUCUGCUGAGUGAACUUUUGGAGGGGCAGGAUUUCAUCCCCCUUCUAACCAGCAGUCCCUUCACAGGAGACUUCUGUGGCAGACGAUAUACAUCUUAUCCAGUGAGGCAAAGUCUGCUUUUGUUCACACCCAGGUGCCUUGGCCACCCUCACAUGAAGCUGAAUUGUAAAGCCAGCAUGUGUUCAGAGAAGUGAGAGCUGAACCACAUCCAUGAAAGCACAAGCUUUGCAGCCUGGAGUGUACCAGGCCUUCUAAAAGCACCUUUGAAAUUUUCUGGUGUUUUAAUAAGCACAGGUAAGGCUGUGGAUACACUCUGUUCCCAUCUGCUGUGAUGCUGUGCUGUAUUUACUCUGGGCUCAUGUUUGCCCCUGUUCUCAGCCUUCUGCAGUGAGAUGCUGUUACUGUAUUUACUGCUCAGAAGUUUAGAAAUGUUUGUCACAAAUUCUGGCUCCAUAUGCCAGAAUUGUUCAGGUAGAAGAGAAGACUAAAGCCUGGCAUCCCACCCUGCUCUGCUUUUCACUCCAAUGGUGAUGAACAUUAAG